AUUGAACGCUGGCGGCAGGCCUAACACAUGCAAGUCGAGCGGAUGAAGGGAGCUUGCUCCUGGAUUCAGCGGCGGACUGGUGAGUAAUGCCUAGGAAUCUGCCUGGCAGUGGGUGAUAACGUCCGGAAACGGGCGCUAAUACCGCAUACGUCCUGAGGGAGAAAGUGGGGGAUCUUCGGACCUCAUGCUAUCAGAUGAGCCUAGGCCGGAUUAGCUAGUUGGUGGGGUAAAGGCCUACCCAGGCGACGAUCCGUAACUGGUCUGACUGGAUGAUCAGUCACACUGGAACGGAGACGCGGUCCAGAAUCCUACGGGAGGCAACAGUGGGGAAUAUUGGACAGUGGGCGAAAGCCUGACCCAGCCAUGCCCCGUGUGUGAAGAAGAUCUUCGGAUUGUAAAGCACUUUAAGUUGGGAGGAACAGAAGUAAGUUACUACCUUGCUGUUUUGACGUUACCAACAGAAUAAGCACCGGCUAACUUCGUG
rnacentral:rRNA from 1 species